rnacentral:rRNA from 1 species
UACAUGGGGUGCAAACGUUGCUCGGAAUUAUUGGGCGUAAAGCGCACGUAGGCGGUUCGUUAAGUCGGAUGUGAAAGCCCUCGGCUCAGCUGAGGAAGUGCACCCGAAACUGGCGAGCUUGAGUACGAAAGAGGAUCGCGGAAUUCCCGGUGUAGAGGUGAAAUUCGUAGAUAUCAGGAGGAACACCAAUUGCGAAGGCAGCUCGCUGGGACGUUACUGACGCUGAGACGCGAAAGCGUGGGGAGCAAACAGG